AGAUUGAACGCUGGCGGCAUGCUUUACACAUGCAAGUCGAACGGUAACAGGCCGCAAGGUGCUGACGAGUGGCGAACGGGUGAGUAAUGCAUCGGAACGUGCCCAGUCGUGGGGGGAUAACGCAGCGAAAGCUGUGCUAAUACCGCAUACGAUCUAUGGAUGAAAGCGGGGGACCGAAAGGCCUCGCGCGAUUGGAGCGGCCGAUGUCAGAUUAGCUAGUUGGUGGGGUAAAGGCCCACCAAGGCGACGAUCUGUAGCUGGUCUGAGAGGACGACCAGCCACACUGGAACUGAGACACGGUCCAGACUCCUACGGGAGGCAGCAGUGGGAAUUUUGGACAAGUGGGCGACAAGCCUGAUCCAGCAAUGCCGCGUGACGAGGAAGAAGGCCUUCGGUUGUAAACUGUCUUUAGUACGGUAACGUAACGGUACGUGGUUAAUACCGUCGGACUAAGUGAACGGUAACCGUAAGAAGUAAGACGACCGGACCUAACUACGU
rnacentral:rRNA from 1 species